CCUGUGACGUCACAGCGUCAUCCGCCGCCAGGAACAUCAACAAAGCGGUCAGUUUGUGGUCCGUGCAGUCAGCAAGAAGAUAAACACUUCAUGCAGUCACGCAAAUAUUAUCAUGAUUUUGAUGCUGCAAACCGGAGAUGCAUAGCUGCGGAAGACACGUCUGAAGUGGAAACUUAAAACGAAGCUUCAGAUAUGAAGCAAAGAAUGCCAAGAAUAACAAAUAUAAGAGAUUCUAGAUCGUUCCAGAUUUCCAAAGUACUGAAACGCACACCAUACAGGCUUGGUGGAUCUCGGUGCAAGGUAAAAUAAUUUAUUUACUUGUACAGUAUAUAUUUUUAGCUAAUUAUCAGUAUAUAAAACCACAGUACUUAAUUUUAUCAGUGUCAAAGACACAAUUACAUCUUACUCAUAAAUACCAUUA
rnacentral:lncRNA from 1 species